GACGAACGCUGGCGGCGUGCUUAACACAUGCAAGUCGAACGAUGAACCCGGAGCUUGCUCCGGUGGAUUAGUGGCGAACGGGUGAGUAACACGUGAGUAACCUGCCCUUGACUCUGGGAUAACUGCGGGAAACUGUAGCUAAUACCGGAUACGACCCUCGGCGGCAUCGCCAGGGGGUGGAAAGAAUUUCGGUCAAGGAUGGACUCGCGGCCUAUCAGCUAGUUGGUGAGGUAACGGCUCACCAAGGCGACGACGGGUAGCCGGCCUGAGAGGGUGACUGGCCACGAGGGGACGGAGACACGGCCCAGACUCCUACGGGAGGCAGGAGUGGGGAAUAUUGCAUAAGGGGCGCAAGCCUGAUGCAGCAACGCCGCGUGAGGGAUGACGGCCUUCGGGUUGUAAACCUCUUUUAGUAGGGAAGAAGCGAAGGUGACGGUACCUGCAGAAAAAGCACCGGCUAACUACGUGCCAGCCGCCGCGGUAA
rnacentral:rRNA from 1 species